GAGGAACCUGAUCCUCGGUAGCGAAGGGCUGGAGGCAAACACCGAGCUCCCCCUGAGUCGCCUGGGAGCAGGGAGGGUUCUGCUACCCUGAGGGGCCCUCCCCGCGGGGCAGAGGGUGGGAGGAAGUCACAGCAUCUACUUCUGAAUCUGUGCUUGCCUUGAGGAACAACGGCAUGACACAAGAAUGUGGACGCUUUCAACCAGAGGAUUCUGUACGACAGUGUCGGCACACACUCAUCUUCGUCUACGGCCAAACGUUGGUUUCUCAUUUCUAGAAGAUGAAAGAUGUGAUGACUCAGGAAAAACUUGCUGCUCGAGAUGUGAGUCUUCAGAUGUUCCUGCCGCCAUAUCUGACAGCUGCUGCCAAGAUUCCCUGGUGGGAUGGACUCUUAUACCUCGACAACCAGAAGCCCAAGUAAACUCUUCUAUAAAUUGAAUGACUCAUGCUUAAAAAAAAA
rnacentral:lncRNA from 1 species